rnacentral:rRNA from 1 species
GAGGUCUGGCUGCCACUGAUAUUAAUUUUAAAGGGCCGCGGUAUUUUAACCGUGCGAAGGUAGCAUAAUCAAUAGUCUUUUAAUUGGAGGCUUGAAUGAACGGUCGGACAUAAGGAAAGCUGUCUACGAUCAGUUGUAGUGAACUUAACUUUUGUGUGAAAAGGCAUUAAUAGAUUAGUGGGACGAUAAGACCCUAUAAAACUUGAUAAUUGGUUGUGUAUCUUAUGAUUUAAGGGUAAAGCAAGAUACAGGAAUUUUAUUGUGCUGGGGCGGCAAAAAUAAAAUUUUAACUGUUUUUAACAUAAAAUAAUCAUAAUUAGAAGGUGACCCCGAACUUUGGGUUGUAAGAUUAAGUUACUUUAGGGAUAACAGCGUUAUUUCUCUUGAGAGUUCAUAUCGACAGAGAUAUUUGCGACCUCGAUGUUGAAUUAAAAUUUUUUUCGGGAGUAGGAGUUCGAAGAAUAGGUCUGUUCGACCUUUAAAAUUUUACAUGAUUUGAGUUCAAACCGGUGUGAGCCAGGUA